rnacentral:rRNA from 1 species
UACGUAGGGUGCAAGCGUUGUCCGGAAUUAUUGGGCGUAAAGAGCUCGUAGGCGGCUUGUCGCGUCUGCUGUGAAAUCCCGAGGCUCAACCUCGGGCUUGCAGUGGGUACGGGCAGACUAGAGUGCGGUAGGGGAGACUGGAAUUCCUGGUGUAGCGGUGGAAUGCGCAGAUAUCAGGAGGAACACCGAUGGCGAAGGCAGGUCUCUGGGCCGCAACUGACGCU